UUUAAGGUCUAAUCUGCCCAAUGAGGAAUUAAAUGGCCGCGGUAUUUUGACCGUGCAAAGGUAGCAUAAUAAUUAGUUUUUUAAUUGAAAGCUGGAAUGAAUGAUUGGACGAGAAAAUAGCUGUCUCAGAUUAAUUUAAUUAGAAUUUUAUUUUUAAGUAAAAAAGCUUAAAUUAAUUUAAAAGACGAGAAGACCCUAUAGAGUUUUAUAAUUUUGUAUGUAUAUAGAUAUUUUUAGAAUUUUAAUUUUAAUAUGUAUAAGUUUAUUUUGUUGGGGUGAUAGAAAAAUUAAAUUAACUUUUUUUUUAAAUUUAAUACAUUGAUUUAUGAUUUAAUGAUCCAUUGUUUAUGAUUAUAAGAUUAAAUUACCUUAGGGAUAACAGCGUAAUUUUUUUUUAGAGUUCUUAUCGAAAAGAAAGAUUGCGACCUCGAUGUUGGAUUAAAAUAUACGUUUGGUGUAGGGGCUAAAUAGUUGGGUCUGUUCGACCUUUAAAAUUUUACA
rnacentral:rRNA from 1 species